GACGUGGGGGGCCAGCGUUGCUCGGAAUUACUGGGUGUAAAGGGUUCGUAGGCGGUGUAGCAAGUUGGGAGUGAAAUCUCUGGGCUCAACCCAGAGGCUGCUUCCAAAACUGCUGUGCUUGAGUGUGGGAGAGGCGCGUGGAAUUGCAGGUGUAGCGGUGAAAUGCGUAGAUAUCUGCAGGAACACCCGUGGCGAAAGCGGCGCACUGGACCAUAACUGACGCUGAGGCGCGAAAGCUAGGGGAGCAAACAGG
rnacentral:rRNA from 1 species